UCCUUGUUUGCUUUCAGAGUUUUCAAAGUGGAAGACUGCUGUCAGUCAGUGAGUUCCUGAAAGUUUGAUGACUGUGAGGAGUGUACUGUACAAUUCAAACUUGAAAUAGGAAAAGUGAAAGAGGGUUGAAUCAGGCUUUACUUAGUAUCCAAUCUAUAAGUAUCGAGGUACUUUCAUUCCAUCAGGAACUAGAAAUGGAUGUUGCAGUAAAAUUAGAAAUUUGUCUUCAACAAAUGUCCCAUUGGAUCUUACCUUCCAUGACAUCUGUUACACUGUUGGAAAUGUGAAACCUGUUUGUUAUUGCUCUAUGCACGCAAGGGCACUCCUCCAUUUAUAUAGGAGUGAUUAUGAAUACAUUAGAACUGUCAAACAAUGAACAGACUCAAAUUUCCUGCUUGUCUAGAGGUGAAUGUGAAAGGCUUUCUAUCGUAGUGGAAUUGUUUGACAAUCCUGCUAUAUUUUUCUUGAUGAACUAACCAGCGGACUGGACAUCUCGUCAACUUUCCAAUGCGUUGCCUUACUUCGUGAAAUCGCCAUAACCGUUGUAGCAACCAAUCCAUCAGCCAAGUUCGCGAUUAUUGGACCACUUUGAUCACCUAUACAUCGUGGCAAGUGAAUCUUUAGUCCUCCCGGAUUCUUAGUCCCUUAUCUGAAAACCGUCAACCUAAAUUGCCCCAGUUAUACAAAUCCACAGCUGACUUUGCAUAUUUUCAAAUUUGGCUUAGCUCAAAUAAUUAUUUGAAUAUCCAAAUCAUUUUUUUA